CCUUAGGAGAGUCAUACCAAACUGGAGUAGCUUAUUAUAGCAAAACAGGACUCUAAGAAUAAGGAA
rnacentral:ncRNA from 1 species